rnacentral:rRNA from 1 species
AUUGAACGCUGGCGGCAGGCCUAACACAUGCAAGUCGAACGGUAACAGGAAGCAGCUUGCUGCUUUGCUGGCGAGUGGCGGACGGGUGAGUAAUGUCUGGGAAACUGCCUGAUGGAGGGGGAUAACUACUGGAAACGGUAGCUAAUACCGCAUAACGUCGCAAGACCAAAGAGGGGGACCUUCGGGCCUCUUGCCAUCGGAUGUGCCCAGAUGGGAUUAGCUAGUAGGUGGGGUAACGGCUCACCUAGGCGACGAUCCCUAGCUGGUCUGAGAGGAUGACCAGCAACACUGGAACGGAGACACGGUCCAGACUCCUACGGGAGGCAGCAGUGGGGAAUAUUGCACAAUGGGCGCAAGCCUGAUGCAGCCAUGCCGCGUGUAUGAAGAAGGCCUUCGGGUUGUAAAGUACUUUCAGCGGGGAGGAAGGGAGUAAAGUUAAUACCUUGGCUCAUUGACGUUACCCGCAGAAGAAGCACCGGCUAACUCCGUG